rnacentral:rRNA from 1 species
UACGUAGGGUGCGAGCGUUGUCCGGAUUUAUUGGGCGUAAAGGGCGCGCAGGCGGUACGGCACGUCCGUUGUGAAAUCGCUCGGCUCAACUGGGCGGGGGCAGCGGAUACGGCCGCACUUGAGCAAGCUGGGGGGCAAUGGAAUUCCCGGUGUAGUGGUGGAAUGCGUAGAUAUCGGGAGGAACACCAGUGGCGAAGGCGGUUGCCUGGAGCUUUGCUGACGCUGAGGCGCGAAAGCGUGGGGAGCGAUCCGG